AGUGAACGCUGGCGGUAGGCCUAACACAUGCAAGUCGAACGGCAGCACAGUAAGAGCUUGCUCUUACGGGUGGCGAGUGGCGUACGGGUGAGGAAUACAUCGUAAUCUACUUUUUCGUGGGGGAUAACGUAGGGAAACUUACGCUAAUACCGCAUACGACCUACGGUUGAAAGCUGGGGAUCUUCGGACCUUGCGCGAUUGAUUGAGCCGAUGUCGGAUUAGCUAGUUGGCGGGGUAAAGGCCCACCAAGGCGACGAUCCGUAGCUGGUCUGAGAGGGUGAUGGGCCACACUGGAACUGGGACACGGUACAGACUCCUACGGGAGGCAGCAGUAGGGAAUCUUCCGCAAUGGGCGAAAGCCUGACGGAGCAACGCCGCGUGAGUGAUGAAGGUCUUCGGGUUGUAAAGCCAUUUUGUUGGGAAAGAAAAGCAGCAGGUUAAUACCCCGCUGUUCUGACGGUACCCAAAGAAUAAGCACCGGCUAACUUCGUG
rnacentral:rRNA from 1 species